CCGGCGGUGGAGUAGGGGGCCAUGAAGGCCAGUCCCCGGCUGUGCGCCGAGUAGGCCAGGCGCAGCGGGUUGAGGCCCAGGUGCAUUUUACCAGUACAGCUGAAAUAGGUGGUAUUUGAGAGCGUUAACCACCCUGGCUUGACGUCCUCCUCCUUGGUAAUCAGUUUGCGCGGAGAGGAAGUAGCAGGUUUGGGAUUUUGGAACUUGUGAAGUGAACGCACCUCUCCUUUUCCGGAAGGAAUAUUUGGGCGAAAGCUCCCAUCUCUGUGUUCUACACGAAGGCUCUUCGAUGAUGAAUAAUUAUGAUUAUUUUGUUAAUUUCUUGUGCCUUUUUGUUGCCCCUUGAUAACGAUAACGAAUGAAAAUACGAGCAGUGGUUUACAGAGACUCAAUAAAGAGCGAUUGCACUUUGUUAGAAUGGAAUGUUUCACCUCUCACAGCCUUGCUUAGACCGCUCAGCUAAAGAAAGGGUGGGCAGUGCUCUGGGGGCUAAGUUAAGCGAUUGCAAUGACAGGGUCCCUCCGUAUGGAGUUAGCAUUUUCUAUGCUAGGGAAGCAAGUUGUAGCACUGAGGUGCGAGCGCUCUGAAUAGAUUGGUUGAAACCCUUUGGGAUUCCCAGCGGAGUAUGUGAAGAACUAAAAUAAUUUCGUUCUCUUUCAUUUUGUUAACCUCCCCCACCUUCCUUGUAGAGUAUUAAAAUCCAAACCUGACAAUAUAAGGGGAUAUGGAUGGUGAGCCUCUUGCCAGCGCUUAACUGCAGAAUAGCGGCGGAUAAUGCCCUUGCUUUUUGCUUUCUUUGUAAUCGUUCUUCUAUGGGAAGCAGCUCUUUGCUGAAAAAUACCAAUUGCAAGGCAUCGCAUCCCGCAGACACGUUGAUAUUUGUCUGAUGUUUGCAUCAUUCUUCUUACUUUAAAAAUAAAGUAGAAUCUUUCCCUUCGGACGGCUGAGACUGGGUGUUGAAAGCUGCCACCCGCUUCUCGUAGCUAGGUGUCAUAACACCUCUAUUUAAUGCAGCCAAGAAGUCAAAAUAGCUGCUUUAAUUUUAUCUGCAACCACUAAUUUUAUUCUCCAGGGAGAAUAUAUCAGAGCUCCGGGUUUAGUGGGGAAUUCGUUUAAUUGGAUCAGACUGAAUGGGAAACUUUUUGUAUUGUAUUUUAUCUAGGCUUAUUGCGCAGAACACGUUUCCCUUUUUCCUUGCAAAGCUGUUUAAUUACUUGUUUGGUUUUGUAAUUUAUCUGCAAAUAGCCCCGCGAGGCAUUCUGUGAUCACCAACAAACACAGAAUACAG